rnacentral:rRNA from 1 species
AGCGAACGCUGGCGGCAGGCCUAACACAUGCAAGUCGAGCGCCCAGCAAUGGGAGCGGCAGACGGGAUAGUAACACGUGGGAACGUACCCUUCAGUUCGGAACAACCCAGGGAAACUUGGGCUAAUACCGAAUACGUCCGUAAGGAGAAAGAUUUAUCGCUGAAGGAUCGGCCCGCGUCUGAUUAGCUAGUUGGUGAGGUAAUGGCUCACCAAGGCGACGAUCAGUAGCUGGCUGAGAGGAUGAUCAGCAUCACUGGGACUGAGACACGGCCCAGACUCCUACGGGAGGCAGCAGUGGGGAAUAUUGGACAAUGGGCGCAAGCCUGAUCCAGCCAUGCCGCGUGGAUGAUGAAGGCCCUAGGGUUGUAAAGUCCUUUCGACGGGGAAGAUAAUGACGGUACCCGUAGAAGAAGCCCCGGCUAACUUCGUGCCAGCAGCCGCUGUAAU